rnacentral:lncRNA from 1 species
AAGAUGAACUCGCCUUGGGUAUUCCUUUUCCGCAGAUGGACAUCGCCACCUAGUGGAUUAUGAGCAUAUUUAAAUGUAAGUAGUCCUGCGCGUGUUCUUUAGACAGUGCUCUUCCCGAAAGAGUUCUGCUUCGCUUGGCUAUUUUAUUUUGGACUGGUACAACGGAUGAUAUCUCCAAACGACAUUUGUGCUACGUUGUGUUUUGGAAACAUAACAAACAUGGGCUACUUUAAAGGGAAAAGUUAGGCAUUUGCAUUUGUUUGGACGCAGUAAAACUCUUCAAGGUCAACUAAUACAGUAUUCGGUGGUGGUCACUAUGGUAACAGAAUGACUCACAGUAAAGAGAGCAGGUCUCAAACCAUCGCUGUUGUGCUGGUAGACUGUCUCUUGAUCACCAUUACCAGCUUAUUUUAGCUGAUUUACAUGGACUCACGCCAUCCAACAGUCUCUGGCUGGAUGGCCACUGUAAACGAUAUGGAUUUGGACUUUUAUUGUCAAUAGAAAUGUACACCUUUCCAAGUCCGAAACAACCACUAAGGCUUCCAGCGUCUCUUGGAAACAGAGACCAUGACAUCAACUCCCAUUAUUUACCUUUGCACUGUGAAAGUAGUUACGCAGCCCUCGCACAAAAUUAUUAUGGAAAUUUGAGACUGUAUGGAAACCUUUUGGAACCGAAAAAGAAAUACCCAAUACAGAACUGUAAGUGUGCUAUUUACUUAUUCCUUUACAAAUACCAGUUAUUUAUGCUGUUGUUAUAUUAAUGUAAUGUAGGCUUGGCUAGCCUGUAUUAGCCUGUAAGUUGCCAUCCACAUUUCUACUGUAUGAGCAGCACUAAUGACAAGUUGACGUCUUAUGUUGAAUAGAUUAUAAAUAACAUAUUUCAAGAGUAAUGUUAAAUUAAUAUUACUAAUACUAAUGCAACAGUCGGAGGUUAGGCUACAUCCUACUUUAAUGUAUGUCACACUGGCCUAAAUGAGAUGUUUCCACUUUCUGCGCCUGCGUAUCCUAGGCCUAAAGAGUGUUAGUCAGCUGGAUGCAAAAUGUUCAGAGAGAUUUGGAUCUCCAAAGGCCAAAUUUCCCUCUGAAAAUAAUAUCCAAGAAAAGGACAAUUGUGGGAGGCAUUUCUUAUUUGAUAGGAGAUGGAAAAAUGGAGAGUUCAAAGAUGAGAUGUACCUCAAACCAGCCACCGUUGUAUACCCUCUACCUCGGACUUAUCAGGUUCAGAAAUCAAAUAAUUUACAUCGGUUUUCACAAUGCAGGCAGACCUCUAAUCGUUCCUCGAAGCCAUUUUGUCCAUUUGAGGGGUAUGAUAUCACUUCAGUUCCAACUCGUCGGUUAACAGCUUCCUCAACAGUCUCCGGAAAGUCAUUCUCGGUCGAAGUUCUGAAACACAGGUUUGUUAAGGAACGAGCUCUUUGGGUCUAUAAACUCUUCAGGUCCGAAAGUAUACAACCAGACGUAGAGUAUAAAGUAUGA